GUAGGGAAUAUUGGGCAAUGGUCGGAAGACUGACCCAGCCAUGCCGCGUGCAGGAAGACGGCCCUCUGGGUUGUAAACUGCUUUUAUCUGGGAAGAAAAAGGCCAUGCGUGGCAAAUUGCCGGUACCAGAUGAAUAAGCACCGGCUAACUCCGUGCCAGCAGCCGCGGUAAUACGGAGGGUGCGAGCGUUGUCCGGAUUUAUUGGGUUUAAAGGGUGCGUAGGCGGCUGAUUAAGUCAGCGGUGAAAGACUUCGGCUUAAUCGGAGCAGUGCCGUUGAUACUGGUUGGCUUGAGUGUCGGAGGGGUACAUGGAAUUGAUGGUGUAGCGGUGAAAUGCAUAGAUACCAUCAGGAACACCGAUAGCGAAGGCAUUGUACUGGCCGACAACUGACGCUGAUGCACGAAAGCGUGGGGAGCAAACAGGAUUAGAUACCCGAGUAGUCC
rnacentral:rRNA from 1 species